AGUGAACGCUGGCGGUAGGCCUAACACAUGCAAGUCGAACGGCAGCACAGUAAGAGCUUGCUCUUACGGGUGGCGAGUGGCGGACGGGUGAGGAAUACAUCGGAAUCUACUUUUUCGUGGGGGAUAACGUAGGGAAACUUACGCUAAUACCGCAUACGACCUACGGGUGAAAGCAGGGGAUCUUCGGACCUUGCGCGAUUGAAUGAGCCGAUGUCGGAUUAGCUAGUUGGCGGGGUAAAGGCCCACCAAGGCGACGAUCCGUAGCUGGUCUGAGAGGAUGAUCAGCCACACUGGAACUGAGACACGUUCCAGACUCCUACGGGGGGCAGCCGUGUGGAAUAUUGGACAAUGCGCGCAAGCCUGAUCCAGCCAUACCGCGUGGGUGAAGAAGGCCUUCGGGUUGUAAAGCCCUUUUGUUGGGAAAGAAAAGCAGCAGGUUAAUACCCCGCUGUUCUGACGGUACCCAAAGAAUAAGCACCGGCUAACUUCGUG
rnacentral:rRNA from 1 species